GAACGGGGGGAGAAGAUGGCGGCCGGUACCUGUGAAGAAGAUGCGGUGGGGACCAGCGAUCAUCGGUGGCAUUAGCAGAGAUCAGCGGCGCAGCAUUCAAGUCGGAUUUUCCACCUGCCAGUGAGGCUAGCCCUGCCAGACUACGCUCCUGACAAGUACUUCAUCUUUGCUUCAACACUACUUCUACAGUGGGACUAAUGGCUGGCUGCCCGCACAACCAACUCAGGUCCAUCACUUACAAAGGAGAAUGCAGAAUGCUCAAUAAAGACAAGAGCGUCGGGUAAGGGGAUUUUCCUGGACUUCAUCCAGCUAUGGAAUUUAUCCACUAACUACACAGUACGACAAACAUGAAACUUCUGGUACUAAAAUCUCAGAUAGACAGUAGAGUCUGGAAGUACAAGAUCAUGAAUAGCAGCCUUUCACACCCUAACAACCAAAAUGAAUGUGUCAUGUUCAUUAAUGUCAUUCUAUAUCAUUGAAGAAAUGCCCCUCUGACCUUGUGGAAGCUUCACAAUCAGCAGAAGAUCAUAAAACUUCCCACUCCUUAUCUAUCAGCUGCUUCUACUAUUUACUGCUUCAGCUGUCUACCCACUCUUUAUAUUGGUGCUUGUGCUCCAUAUUACAUCCCUGUUGUAAGUAAGCCGGGAGUGUCACUUUAAUUUUAGAAGCAACUUCUGAACCUCCGGACAAUAAUGAACUGGGGCAAAAGCAGAUAGGGCCAACAAAAAUGGUGGUCGGGUGUAAUUAUGUGAUCUAAUAGUAGUAGCCCAUGCUUGGUAACAGGCCAAUACUUUUAAAUCCUAUUCGUUUGGAUGAUGUAUUAUUAUUAUUUCAGAAGUUCUGCAUUUGGAUCUGAGACAACUGGACUAAAGAUAUUUCACCGUUAACAAGUACCUUGAACACACUUGCUUUUGAAAAUGAAUAUUAACAUAAAAGUGUCUGAAACCUCAGUACUAUAGGUUUGAAAAGUUGGGUGUGACAUUGAUAAUCCCUGGCUUCAUUUACAAGAAUGUAGAUAUUCAUCCACGGCAAGUUGGCAUGAAAUCUGUACUUUAUUGGCAGAAUGCCUGGGUCCUGAAUUAUUCUCAUACCAUAAAGAUUAUGAAUUCUGACACAGUAGUAACCACAAAGGCAGGGGUGUAAAGUUUUCCAAAAACAUUUACUAACUAUUUAUUGGUUAUUAAGUGGUAUUAUGAGUCCUGGACAGGCUCACGUGGCGUGAUGUUUCCCAUGUUGUGCUGUAGUUAGGUAAAGGCACAUCAAAGCGAUUGGAAGCUAUUUCUUAUAUUCUGAGAAAGUAACAAAAAUGUGCUUAGGAGUUCUGUAUGCAUGAGGAUAGGUUCCCCUUUUUUUGGUCCUAAAAACUGCCACAAAAAACUGCCCUGUAGUGUGUUUUAGUCUUUGGCAUUUUCACAUGCGAUUUUUUCAUGACAAAUCAUGUUAUUCUUCAAUGCUGUGACUCAGGGAUUUCUAUUAAAUUAAUGGGGGAAAAAUACCAGAAAAAGUAUUGGUGCUAAACCCACAUGGUGUUUUUAUGGCAUUUUUUGCUCCACAGACUUCUCUCUGAGAGAAUGGACAAGAUUUUGUGCAAAAAAACAAAAACAUAGUGUCAACAUGCUGCAAUCUCGGUAAACUGCCACUGAGUCCAAAACCGCAAAAAAACGCCAAAGAUGAGUGGGAAAAAUAUUUUUUAAUUGCCAAGUGGCUUUGGCAUUUCAUAAAUCCCAAUUUAUUUUCAGAUCACAUCGGGCUGCUGCAUUUUUUGUUCACCAAAAUAAAAACCAAGUGGCAUUUGUGACGUUUUUUUUGGGCAUUUUAGGAAAAAAA